GGAAGUAAAAGCCGUAACAAGGUUUCCGUAGGUGAACCUGCGGAAGGAUCAUUAUUGUAUAACCGAGGUGCGAGGGCUGUCGCUGACCCGAAAGGUCGUGCACGCCCGAGUGCCCUCACACACAUCCAUCUCACCCCUAUGUGCACCACCGCGUGGGUCCCCCUUUGGCUUGUUCGGAGGGGGGCUUACGUUUUCACACAAACUUUGUAUGCGGUGUAGAAUGUAUUUUUUGUUUUUGCGAUCACGCAAUCAAUACAACUUUCAACAACGGAUCUCUUGGCUCCC
rnacentral:misc_RNA from 1 species